CCCCCCCAAAAAGAAGAAGCCAAAAUCUAACUUUUUUACUUCAGUUUUUUUCCCCUAAAAUUUGUUCCCCUUUCUCUACCCACUCCUCCUUCAUGGCCGCCGCCGAUCCCUUCAACCCUAUCCCUAGUCCCAAAAUCUCUGCCUACUACCAGACCAGAGCCGGCCACACCGCUGUCGCCACUGAAAAUUUUUUGGGUAGGGGGCCCCUUAAGUCUUGCGCCUAUCCAUCUUUUUUAUUUUAUCCUUAAUUGGAAUUUGGAUUUCCCUAAAGAGCUCUCUCUUCUGUGUUCCUUUUCUUCAAUUGCAGAAUAACGUUAAGAAACGUUUCAGAUAUUGCAAACACAUCUCAUGGACCUAUGCUUUUCUGGUAGAUAAACUUGGAGGAGGAGAACACAAAGGCCUUUCUUAUACUCAGUGAGAAUUAUACUCACAUUAAAGGAGGUACUAGUGCUGUAAAAAAGAGGGGUCAAGGAAAGAAGAUUGUUACAAGAAUGGUCCUUCCUUCAUUUUUACACCUUUUUGGAAAGAGAUGGUAGAUAAUUGGAAGGAGGGAGAUUGGGGGGACGUAAGUUUGAUAAAUAAGGGAGACAGAAAUAAGUCUGAAAUUUUCUCCACUACAGGUUCUUUAUCAAUGGCCAAGUACAGAUAUGAAAUGGAUGGUACUAGCAGAGAUGAAGAUGACAAAUCAAACAAUAACAAGGAGGUUGAAAACAGCUUGGAGGGUGACUCAGAGGAAGACUAAUAUAGAUCUUGUCAUAAUUCUAGUUGUUUAAGUUUAAAACAAGGUUUAAUUUCAGGAUUUUUUUGUAUAUUCUAUAUUUUAAAGUUUGAACUGAUAUGAAUUUUUAUCGUUUGAUGGAUCAA